UACGUAGGGGGCAAGCGUUGUCCGGAAUCAUUGGGCGUAAAGAGCGUGUAGGCGGCUUGGUAAGUCCGCUGUGAAAGUCCAGGGCUCAACCCUGGAAUGCCGGUGGAAACUGUCAAGCUUGAGUCCGGAAGAGGCGAGUGGAAUUCCUGGUGUAGCGGUGAAAUGCGCAGAUAUCAGGAGGAACACCAAUGGCGAAGGCAGCUCGCUGGGACGGUACUGACGCUGAGACGCGAAAGCGUGGGUAGCAAACAGG
rnacentral:rRNA from 1 species